UACGUAGGUGGCAAGCGUUGUCCGGAAUUAUUGGGCGUAAAGCGCGCGCAGGUGGUUUCUUAAGUCUGAUGUGAAAGCCCACGGCUCAACCGUGGAGGGUCAUUGGAAACUGGGGAACUUGAGUGCAGAAGAGGAAAGUGGAAUUCCAAGUGUAGCGGUGAAAUGCGUAGAGAUUUGGAGGAACACCAGUGGCGAAGGCGACUUUCUGGUCUGUAACUGACACUGAGGAGCGAAAGCGUGGGGAGCAAACAGG
rnacentral:rRNA from 1 species